rnacentral:rRNA from 2 species
UACGGAGGGUGCAAGCGUUAUCCGGAUUCACUGGGUUUAAAGGGAGCGUAGGUGGCUUUGUAAGUCAGUGGUGAAAUGUCGCGGCUCAACCGCGAAACUGCCAUUGAUACUGCUUAGCUUGAAUCACGUCGAGGUGGAUGGAAUAUUACAUGUAGCGGUGAAAUGCUUAGAUAUGUAAUAGAACACCGAUUGCGAAGGCAGUUCACUAGGCGUGUAUUGACACUGAGGCUCGAAAGCGUGGGGAUCAAACAGG